CUACGGGCGGCAGCAGUGGGGAAUAUUGCACAAUGGGCGCAAGCCUGAUGCAGCGACGCCGCGUGAAGGAUGAAGGUCUUCGGAUUGUAAACUUCUAUCAGCAGGGAGGAAAUAAAUGACGGUACCUGACUAAGAAGCUCCGGCUAACUACGUGCCAGCAGCCGCGGUAAUACGUAGGGAGCGAGCGUUAUCCGGAUUUACUGGGUGUAAAGGGUGCGUAGGCGGCCUGGUAAGUUAGAAGUGAAAUUUUGGGGCUCAACCCCAGAGCUGCGUCUAAAACUGCUGGGCUAGAGUGCAGGAGAGGAAAGCGGAACUCCACGUGUAGCGGUGAAAUGCGUAGAGAUGUGGAGGAACACCAGUAGCGAAGGCGGCUUUCUGGACUGUAACUGACGCUGAGGCACGAAAGCGUGGGGAGCAAACAGGAUUAGAUACCCCAGUAGUC
rnacentral:rRNA from 1 species